GGGCUCUUAGCUCAGUCGGUAGAGCGCCUGUUUUGCAAGCAGGAUGUCGUCGGUUCGAUUCCGACAGGGUCCACCA
rnacentral:tRNA from 1 species